rnacentral:rRNA from 1 species
AUUGAACGCUGGCGGCAGGCCUAACACAUGCAAGUCGAGCGGUUGAGGUAGCUUGCUACCGAUGCAGCGGCGAACGGGUGAGUAAUACAUGGGAAUCUGCCUGGUAGUGGGGGACAACGUCUCGAAAGGGACGCUAAUACCGCAUACGCCCUACGGGGGAAAGGGGGGGAUCUUCGGACCUCUCGCUAUCAGAUGAGCCCAUGUCAGAUUAGCUAGUUGGUGGGGUAAAGGCUCACCAAGGCGACGAUCUGUAACUGGUCUGAGAGGAUGAUCAGUCACACUAGAACUGAGACACGGUCCAGACUCCUACGGGAGGCAGCAGUGGGGAAUAUUGGACAAUGGGCGCAAGCCUGAUCCAGCCAUGCCGCGUGUGUGAAGAAGGCCUUAGGGUUGUAAAGCACUUUCAGUGGGGAGAAAGGUAAUUCACCUAAUACGUGAGUUAAUUGAUGUUACCCACAGAAGAAGCACCGGCUAACUCCGUGCCAGCCGCCGCCGUAACAC